rnacentral:lncRNA from 1 species
UUAUGGAUCAAGGGUUGGGAUUUAAGGUUUAGGGGUUAGAGGGUUAGGGGUUUAGGGAUUAAAAGUUAGAGAUUUAGGGGUCGAGUUAGGGUUUUGGGUUUAGAUUAAUUAUUUUUAAAUUUAUAUUUUAAAUAUGUUUUUAUAUAAUUGUAAAAGAGAUAAUAAUAAAUUUGUUUAGGGUUUUUAGUUUAGGGUAUAUGAUUAAUUU